GCACCUGUAGCUCAGCUUGGAUAGAGCGACAGCCUCCUAAGCUGUAGGUCGGGAGUUCGAAUCUCCCCAGGUGCG
rnacentral:tRNA from 1 species